rnacentral:rRNA from 1 species
UACAGAGGGUGCAAGCGUUGUUCGGAAUUACUGGGCGUAAAGCGUGCGUAGUCGGUAUUGAGAGUCGCGGGUGAAAUCCCAGGGCUUAACCCUGGAACUGCCUGCGAGACCUCAGUACUAGAGUGUGAGAGGGGAUAGUGGAAUACCAAGUGUAGCGGUGAAAUGCGUAGAGAUUUGGUGGAACACCGGUGGCGAAGGCGGCUAUCUGGCUCACAACUGACGAUCAGGCACGAAAGCGUGGGGAGCAAAAGGG